AGUAAUGCCUAGGAAUCUGCCUGGUAGUGGGGGACAACGUUUCGAAAGGAACGCUAAUACCGCAUACGUCCUACGGGAGAAAGCAGGGGACCUUCGGGCCUUGCGCUAUCAGAUGAGCCUAGGUCGGAUUAGCUAGUUGGUGAGGUAAAGGCUCACCAAGGCGACGAUCCGUAACUGGUCUGAGAGGAUGAUCAGUCACACUGGAACUGAGACACGGUCCAGACUCCUACGGGAGGCAGCAGUGGGGAAUAUUGGACAAUGGGCGAAAGCCUGAUCCAGCCAUGCCGCGUGUGUGAAGAAGGUCUUCGGAUUGUAAAGCACUUUAAGUUGGGAGGAAGGGCAGUAAGUUAAUACCUUGCUGUUUUGACGUUACCGACAGAAUAAGCACCGGCUAACUUCGUGCCAGCAGCCGCGGUAAUACGAAGGGUGCAAGCGUUAAUCGGAAUUACUGGGCGUAAAGCGCGCGUAGGUGGUUCAGCAAGUUGGAUGUGAAAGCCCCGGGCUCAAACCUGGGAACUGCAUCCAAAACUACUGAGCUAGAAGUACGGUAGAGGGGUGGGUGGAAUUUCCUGGUGUAGCGGUUGAA
rnacentral:rRNA from 1 species